rnacentral:rRNA from 1 species
AAGAGCUCAUCAUUGGAAUCUGGCAGUGUUUCACUGUCCGAGUUGUAGAUGAGGAGUAGUCCGUCUGGACUGCAUGGCGUCCAAGUACAAUAGGCCGUCAGUGGGACAUCAUAGAGGGUGACAAUCCCGUCCUUGACGCCAAUGUGCAAGUCUAUUACGAUGGCUAUCUCAGAGAGUCGAGCAGUUUGGGAUUUGCUGCUUAAACAUGGGAGGUAGAUUCCUUCUAAAGCUAAAUACAGGCGAGAGACCGAUAGAGAACAAGUACCGCAAGGGAAAGAUGAAAUAGCACUCUGUGAAGGGAGUCAAAAGGCGUGAAAUUGUUGCGAGAGAAGCGAUUCAAGUCAGCGUAGCUAGGCCCAUCAAGCGUCUUCGCUUUGGACUAGCUUUGCCAGCGGUCUUGUCCCUUAAAGAGACUUGACUUGUAAUAUGUCCAGCCUGGCGUGCACAGGCAGCCCCUUCUGGGGG